CCUACGGGAGGCAGCAGUGGGGAAUUUUGGACAAUGGACGCAAGUCUGAUCCAGCCAUUCCGCGUGCAGGACGAAGGCCUUCGGGUUGUAAACUGCUUUUGUACAGAACGAAAAGGUUUCUCUUAAUACGAGGGGCUCGUGACGGUACUGUAAGAAUAAGCACCGGCUAACUACGUGCCAGCAGCCGCGGUAAUACGUAGGGUGCAAGCGUUAAUCGGAAUUACUGGGCGUAAAGCGUGCGCAGGCGGUUAUAUAAGACAGAUGUGAAAUCCCCGGGCUCAACCUGGGAACUGCAUUUGUGACUGUAUAGCUGGAGUACGGUAGAGGGGGAUGGAAUUCCGCGUGUAGCAGUGAAAUGCGUAGAUAUGCGGAGGAACACCGAUGGCGAAGGCAAUCCCCUGGACCUGUACUGACGCUCAUGCACGAAAGCGUGGGGAGCAAACAGGAUUAGAUACCCUGGUAGUCCACGCCCUAAACGAUGUCAACUGGUUGUUGGGUCUUCACUGACUCAGUAACGAAGCUAACGCGUGAAGUUGACCGCCUGGGGAGUACGGCCGCAAGGUUGAAACUUAAAUGAAUUGACGGCUGAGAGNGCGACGACGACGACGAGGGAGGAGG
rnacentral:rRNA from 1 species